rnacentral:lncRNA from 1 species
UGAUACAAUUUUCCUCCUUUUUUUAGUAGUGCACCCAAAAAUCCAAGAUCCGCCUCUGCCUGAAUGGAGCAACAUAGUAUAAAUUAUUCAUACAGGUGACUCCAACUAAUUUGGAAUUAAGGCGUAGUUGACAUAAAACUUUACUUCAAGCAUGUUCUCCUGUUGUAGUAGAUAAUUGAUGGGUGAGCAUCAGAAUUACAGUGGAAAGGGAAAAAAGCAUCAAAAUUGCAGACCACAUCCUGUUUUAUGAUAGGUAAAACCAUAGACCAUAUUCUCUGCAUAGCAGAUUCUCUUUCUUCUUUUUUUGAUUAUAAGUAGCAGAACUUCUUCAGCUGAAGCAAGAACCCAUCAUUUCAUGGUUGUGUGGCAGAGUCUUGAGUUCUGUGAUCUUCUCAUGUGCGCUUUUAGUUCGGCACUCGGUGAGCAUGAAUGUGGUCUCUUUCGAGUUUUAUUACCUCACUUGGUAUGACCUAAGCUAUGUCAAUGGUGGUCCUUAUGGAGAGCCACUUCCGUCCAAUCAAGACAGACUCUACGAGGACAACAGCUUUUGCGGGAACAAGGAAGAAGUCAAUCACUUUUCAACAAAUACCUUCUAUGGAAAUGAACUUUUUCCCUACAAUGAUGGGGUGAACAACAACUGGCUAGGGGAUUUUGUAUCCUACUUUGCUGGCACCUGCAAAGAUGAUUUUGUACCCAGUUAUGUAAAGAGACCUGAGAAAUCAGAUGACCUGUCGACAGGUGAAGCAAUACAGCAUGGCAGCCAUUAUGCCGAUGAUUCACAGCCUGUUUACAUUGGUAAUCAGUGGUUAUGGCAAUUGGAUGCUGGAGACAAGGAUGAUGAUUAUAAUUACCAUGUCAGGCAAGAGCCCGAAGCUACAAGUGCCGAUAGCUGGGAUGAAAUGAGACUUGUGGUAAGCAUCUUUGGUCAGGCUUCUCUAUUAGAGCUGGACCUGGAAGAUCAAACUGAGCCUGCAGUUGCUUGACCAUGUCAUCUUCAUUUUUGGAAAGAAAUAGUCCUACUCUCAUUUCUAUUUUUUUUUUUGGUUUCCGAGGAUUCAGUAUCUCAAUCUAAAGUAGUUCAAUAAAUAAAGAGACAGUUUUCAGAAAGAAUGAUCCAUGGAGAAAGCAAUAUCCUCCUCCUGGCCCCAAUUUUCUUCAAGGUUGUCUUAUUCCAGGCAAAGCUUUUGUGUGUGUGUGUAUAUAUAUAUAUCAAGGAAGCAUCAAGAACACAAUUAUUCUUCUGGUAUCUUAUCUCACCGUCUUCAUGCUGAUUUUUCUUGACUAUUAUAAAAGAGGCUAUCCAUCAAGAAGAGAAAAAUAGUGCCUGCAGUUGCUAAGGGGCGGAUGUAACGUUAUGGGGACGGGUUCAAUUGAAAUUGACUGUAUUGUAGAACAAAACUAGAUCUCCUCACUAAGUUCUCCACAAUUUUAGCCAUUUGUAUCCCUGUAUUGGUACUUGUAUGAGUAUCUGCUUAACGGAAAAGGAUCAUCUCUUUGCAUGCAUAUAGUUGUUCUCAAAAUGGUCAUCCAUGAUGUAUGCCAAGAAGAAUCUGCUUCAUAUCAGUGCAAGAAUCUAUAUCUACUACACAUUACUAUUCUUGGGGUGAAUUGUUCGGCGUAGGGUGAACGAAUGACCAAUUGUCUCCUACUAUGGUCUUGAAAACCCUUACCUCAUGAACUAACUUUUGGAGUUAAGACUAAGGUCUAUUUUCUUAACAUGGUAUUAAAGUCAAGACUCAUCUCUAUUCUUGGUUACCCAAUGUUGGACCUCCAUGUUAUGUUGUGCACGCUCCAGGUGUCCUGGGUAUGGGGGGGGGGGGGUUAGACUGUCUCAUAUAGGUUGAGGGAAUUACCUGUUGUCCUCUUAUAUGGUCUUCGGAAAUCUUCGCCUAAUGAGCUAGCUUUUAGAGUUGAAUUAAGCUCAAGGUCCAUUUUCUUAACAAUCUCUUUGCACUCAUGCUGUUGUCCCAAGUCAAAAUUGUUAUCCCAGACAUAUGCCAAGAAGAAUCUUUAGCUCAUAUCAAAGC